AGAAUACCUCUCUUUUCCACUUUGACUGCCGCGCUAUCGACUGUUGUGCGACGCCGUCGCCCGGAGGCUGAUUGGAUAUCAGCGUGCUGUCAGCUUCACAAGCGCGGCCAUCCGAGCGGAACACGCAUUUCCAAUUGGCUGCGUUAUCGCGCUAACGCACCUGGCACGCUAGCCCCGCUAGCCUCGGCGUUGCUUUUUUUGGGCAAGUGACAUGUUUUCCUCUAAACACAUUUGAUCAACGGUAACACUAGCGGAUUGACGCGCUAUGGUGACGGCCGUGAAGUUGCUGAUGGUGGCCGCUGCGCUCCAGGGUGGAAGCAGCUGUGUGAAUGUGUGUGUGUGUGUUUUGUUUUGCUGGUCUGCACAUGAGCGGUCACAAUCGGAGAUGGAUGCCUCGCCUCUUCUCGCGUCACAUCUGCUCGCCGCGCUCUGAGGCCAGGGUCGAUUCACGUCGAAGAGCGUCGGCGCACGCCGAGGGCGCCACCUUUGAGCUGGGACACAACGAGAGAGGCUGGUCAUACGAGCGAGGCAUUUUAGGGGAUGGAAAGCCAGCGAUAAUGAAAGGCAUAAAGAGGGGUUAAGAGGCUCGGAUAAUGAGAGGGAAUCGGCGAGGAUCAGAGCGAGCGGGGG